CCUACGGGUGGCAGCAGUGGGGAAUAUUGCACAAUGGGGGAAACCCUGAUGCAGCGACGCCGCGUGAGUGAAGAAGUAACUCGUUAUGUAAAGCUCUUUCAGCAGGGAAGAAAAUGACGGUACCUGAGUAAGAAGCCCCGGCUAACUACGUGCCAGCAGCCGCGGUACUACGUAGGGGGCAAGCGUUAUCCGGAUUUACUGGGUGUAAAGGGAGCGUAGACGGCAGUGCAAGUCUGGAGUGAAAGGCGGGGGCUCAACCCCCGGACUGCUGUGGAAACUGUACGGCUGGAGUGCAGGAGAGGUAAGUGGAAUUCGUAGUGUAGCGGUGAAAUGCGUAGAUAUUAGGAGGAACACCAGUGGCGAAGGCGGCUUACUGGACUGUAACUGACGUUGAGGUGCGAAAGCGUGGGUAGCAAACAGGAGUAGAUACCCGAGUAGUC
rnacentral:rRNA from 1 species